rnacentral:lncRNA from 1 species
AAAAAAAAAAUAAAAAAUAGCACCCCUAAAAAAAAAAUAGCAACCCAAAUAAAAAAGGUCGUAUCCUUAUGGCAGAAAAAUAAAAACAUAUAUUCUUUGGUACAAAAAUACAAAUAAUUUUUUUCGGUUCUAAAAUACAAGUAAUUUUAACAUGUAUAAAAGUGCAUAUAUAUUUUUGGUAGUGUUCCCACGAUUGCACUAACGUGAUAUUUAAUUUAUAUAUGUAGCGCCAGUAUAUAAAACUCUCACACUUUCGUUCAAUAAUAUAUAAUUACAUUAUUGAAUAAAUUUGACUACCACAAUAAUUGUAGAUAUCAAAAUUUAUUAAAUAAUGUAGAAACAUGCCAUUGAACUAAAAUGUAAAUUUUUUGAUAUACUAAUAACACACCAAAAUUAAAUUUUCACAUUUAUUUACUCCAUCAUGUAUUUUACAUAAGCAUAAAGGUAUAGAUUAAAUACAUGUACCUUUAUGUUUAUAUAAAAAAAAUCGAGUUGUACUUUCAAAUGGGAAGUGGAAGAAGAGGUAGCUAGGUACGAAAAAAAAAAGUGACCUAUAAUUUUGCCAAUUUUUCAAGGUCAGAAAAAUGAUCGAGUGCUCAAUGUUGAUGAAUCCAUUGGCUGAUAACCUAACCUAAGCUCAAGGUCUAAAUCACAUUUCUUCUCUUCAAUCCUUUGAGUUCCAACAAAUGAAGAACUAUGAGGAAGUUCUUUUGUAGUAAUUAACUUACCCCUUUGAGUUUCGUGAUUCUCUUCCAAAUCUCCUUGAUCAUUAGGGUUUUUGUUUGCGAUGUCCAAAGAAAGCAAAUUUUCUUCGGAAGAUUGUUGUUUGAGCUUGGCUCUAUCUCUUCUAUGGAUAUUCAUGUGGCCUCCUAAUGCUUGUGCAUUAGAGAAUCCUCUCUUGCAAAAAGUACAAGAAUAAGACCUAACUUGACCUGGGUCGUCAGAGCUCCAUCUUAUUUGGUCAGAUUUAUUAGGGUUUUGGGUGUAUUCCAUCUUUCUUUGGAAAGCAAUGGGGAAAUAGCUAUAAGACAUAAAUUUUACAAAGGAGAAAAGUG